ACGUGAGGCCAAACCUUCUUGUUAAAGCCUGAUUUUGUCAGACCUCAGAAGCUAAGCAGGGCUGGGCCUGAUUAGUACUUGAAUGAGUGGUUGCUGGGAAUUUCAGGUGCCACAGUG
rnacentral:rRNA from 1 species